rnacentral:rRNA from 1 species
GUGAACGCUGGCGGUAGGCCUAACCCAUGCCAGUCGAACGGCAGCACAGUAAGAGCUUGCUCUUACGGGUGGCGAGUGGCGGACGGGUGAGGAAUACAUCGGAAUCUACUUUUUCGUGGGGGAUAACGUAGGGAAACUUACGCUAAUACCGCAUACGACCUACGGGUGAAAGCAGGGGAUCUUCGGACCUUGCGCGAUUGAAUGAGCCGAUGUCGGAUUAGCUAGUUGGCGGGGUAAAGGCCCACCAAGGCGACGAUCCGUAGCUGGUCUGAGAGGAUGAUCAGCCACACUGGAACUGAGACACGGCCCAGACUCCUACGGGAGGCAGCAGUGGGGAAUAUUGGACAAUGGGCGCAAGCCUGAUCCAGCCAUACCGCGUGGGUGAAGAAGGCCUUCGGGUUGUAAAGCCCUUUUGUUGGGAAAGAAAAGCAGCAGGUUAAUACCCCGCUGUUCUGACGGUACCCAAAGAAUAAGCACCGGCUAACUUCGUG